rnacentral:rRNA from 1 species
AUGGCGGCGUUGAGCAGGGCAGCGAUGGUGUUGACCAUGAUGGGCCUCGCUGCCACUUCAGCCCUUUCGCAGCCGUCGUUGAUCUCCAUGACCACCGAUGUGCCCCUUCCCGACGGCCUGUCCUACGACUUCCACGCUCUGUCCUGCACUAACCUGCAGAACAUGGUGCGCGACGCCGUGCAGGGAGCGAUCGCAAGGGAUGCCGGUGUCGUCCCUGGCCUCCUCCGCCUCUUCUUCCACGACUGCUUCCCUCAGGGCUGUGACGCGUCCAUCCUGCUAGACAACGGUGAGCGGAACAUGCCUCAAAACGGUGGGCUUAGGAGGAGUGUGCUCGAUCUCAUCGAGAGCAUCCGUGCAACCGUGCACCGUGCAUGUGGGCCCACUGUGUCAUGCGCCGACAUCACCAACCUCGCCACCAAGGAGGCCAUCAUGCAAUCCAGGCUGCCAGGCUAUGAUGUGCCGCUCGGCCGGCGGGACAGCCUCACGCCCGCUACGGCCCAACAAGUCGGGAUCCUGCCCGGGCCCGACUUCAACGUCCAACAACUCGUGAGAACCUUCGCCGACCGCGGGUUUGACAAGAUGGACCUUGUCGCGCUCUCUGGUGCGCACACCGUCGGCAAGGCCAGCUGCGGCAGCUUCAGGAACCGCGCCGGGGAGAACGCCGACUUCGUCCGCACACUCCAACAAGUCUGUGCCAGAAACCCUGGCCACUUGCAGGACCUCGACGUGACCACCCCUAACACGUUCGACAAUAGGUACUACAACAACCUCCAGGUGGGCAGAGGAGUGCUCAACUCCGACAUGGCGCUCACCCGCGACGGGGAGACCAAGAACUGGGUCAACAACUUCGCCGGGAACCAGGGGUGGUUCUUUAGCCAGUUCAGCACCUCCAUGAGGAAGCUCGCGCAUUUGCCAGGAGGAAACAUCGGCGAGAUCCGCAACAAUUGCUUCAGGCGCAACGGGAAUGGAGAAUCUGUCAUCCUCGCGGCUGAGGUUUUUGCCGCCUUUGCUUGA